UUCUUUUUUAUUUAUUUGUUUAUUUUUUUUUUGUUCCCUGGUGUGCAGAGGAGUUACCUAGUCCCGUCUUUAUUUUUCCUUCUUGAAUCCUCCCUGCAGCAGCCCCCGCUCGGCCCGUGCCAUGACCCCAUUUUCUGACAGGAGGAAGGAGCUGGGCAAAAAAAGGGGGAGAGCAGCUUAAUGGCUGAGGAACUCUGGUUCUCCUCCCCGCUGGGGAUUUUCACAGACCUCCCCCCCCCGACAUCAUGUCAGGGCCGCCGGCUUUAUCACUUCUUCUGAGCAAGCCAUUCAGUUCCUGCUGCUAGCGACUUCCUUCGCGAAGGAUUCGGGUGCCUCGUAAACUUUGCGCGUGCGGAAUCUCCGAUGUGCAGCCGGCUGUAGGGUGGAAGGAGGCAGACACCUGGCUCGUAGCACACCUCUGUGUGAUGGUUGGAUCGGAGGCAAAGCUAAAAAUGGCGUGUUUUGAGCAAGGACAACAGAGCAAACCUUUUUGAGCGAAUGCUACGAGUUCUGUCUGUGCCCGCCUGGAAGCAGCUGAGGAUCUGUUUCGGCUGAAAUGAUUCCCGCGGCCAAGCCUUCUAAAAUUAGUGAGAGACAGAGGAUUUAAUUUUGAACCCAGGUUGUGUUUUGCUAGAAGUGGCUCCUGCCUUUCUCCCGGGCUGGGAGAGCCUGGAGCGAACCCUGCACCUGAUUUUCGUGAGCUUAACCCCAGCGGGGAGCGACGGUCCCUUCCUGAGCGACACGCUGGGUUCACACAACGCUACUAUCCAUCCAGAAAGUUUUAGCCUAAUUUAGGUAUUUUGUCUUUUAGAGCGUGAGGGAUCCUGUUGCUGGGGGCUGGGGCGGCGUGUGGCAUUUGGUGUCAAACCAAGCGUCGCACCGAGCUCGGCGAUUAAAAGCGCGCAGGUUAUAUCACGCUGCCGCGCUCGGUGUCUGAAACAGCCUCGAGUGUUGCAAAUCUGGGCUCUUUAAAGAAGCCAGAGCGGUUUCUCCGACGACUUUUUAAAGGAAAUACUAACCGA